rnacentral:lncRNA from 1 species
GCGUGCGGUGGCAGCGGCGGGGCGCGCAGUCCUGCAGGCCGGCCCGGGGCCGGGGGCGGUGGCCGAGCCGGUGCCCGCGUCCGUGCCUGCCUCCGGCGCUCCGGUGCUGGCGGGGGCUCAGAUGUGCGUCAAAGGAACGGUGCCGUUCACCCCCGUGCUGGCGCUCUGGUAGUGCUGGGGCAGGGAGUGGAGCCGGCUCUGGGCGGCAGCGGCCGCCGGAUCCCCGCCUUCCCCGGCCGGAGAGCCGUGCCAACCAACUGGAAGCGUGAGGAGAGUAAGGGCUGUCCUGCCGCCGCCUCGGCGCGCCCCACUCCCGGCCGCCGCUCCCAGCCAGCCCGGACUGCUGCGACACCGGCGGGACCCGAGAGGCGGCCCCGCUGCGGGACCCGCUGCGGCUCCCCGGAGCGGCUUGGGCGGGGGUCAGCGGCUCACAGGCCGCUUUCCCUCUGUCUCCACCCCAACCAACGUGUCGCCCACCGCCACGCUGGGAGCACGCGGUUUUUACUGGCUUUGAAAAUAAGCUUUAUGUCUCCGUUGCACCUAAAAGAAGUAGUAUCGAUCUCCCGCACGUCUGAUCUCCGCAGCAGCCGACGGCUGCCCCAAGGCGACAGCGGGUCCCGGCGGGCGGGACAUUCAGCGUGUCUCCUCGCCUUGGAACGGCCCCGAUCCUUCCCUCGGUGGGACUUUCGCGUCGGUAGAAAAACCAGAAUCGUUACGAAGUUUUGUCAGCAGGAACAUUUUCUAAAAUGUUUGUUUAUGCUACGCAUCAGCUCGGCUUCCAGCACAAUAUUGUUCUUAAAGAGGAAUAUCCUGUAUUGUGAUCCAUUCGUGUCUAAUUUUGUUAGUAAUUACAGUAAAAUUGAAUAAGUAAUUGAUAACAUUCCAAUGACACCACUCCCUAUGAUUAACAGGCUGAAUACACCUUCUAACAUUACACAAAAGUCGUACUUUUCAAGUUUGUUCAAAUUUCAAAAUUUCUUUAAAAAUUGUUAUUACUAAGGCACACACCGGCAAUAUGCGCUGAUCAGAUGGCACAGCAUCUCGCGGGAGAUGAGGGUUUGCACUACCCUAAUUUUCACGGUUUGGGGUUUCUACCUAAAAGGAUAGCCUGACCAUUUACUUUUUACAGUCGAGUUAUCGAGUGGUCCUUUAGAAAAAAAUACCUCACAUCAAAAAAACAAAAAAACCCCCCCACGAACAGAAAACAUACCCAGCAAUCUGCUUUCAACCAAGAGAAAAAUAUUUUAAAAGAGUUUAGUUUUGUAACUGUAAACUUGUAAAUGAAAAGGAAGAACUGUGGCGGUGGAGAGUUUGUCGGACUAGAAUGACAUGAGGAAUUAUUACGUAGUUAAUCUUUAAAAUUGCACUGCUGAAAUGUCAGUCACGGAAAAAGAGCUUCUCAAGCCCAAAUGCGGCAUCCCAUUUACAGCAGGGCAACCUGGAUGGUUAUGUCUGUGGUGCG